rnacentral:rRNA from 1 species
AUAUUAAUACUGCUGUAGUUAAAACGCCCGUAGUAUACCUAAGAGUGGGUGUGUAGUAAUUAGUUUUACCAGAGGACGGUUGGCGAGAGUUUAUCACUCUUGUUUGCCUACUUUUGGUAGACUUUAGUCGGGCUGGACCUUUGGUCCUCGUCUGACAGUUGCUACGUGCUUACUUACCACGGUUCAUCCGUGAGGCCCUUGGCUUGCAACUGUAAAUAAAUCGUUGUGCUUAAAGCGGGCUAUGAUACUCUGCCAGAGCGAUUUAGCAUGGGACUGCAGAGUAGCUGUAUUUGGGUGAAGGUUGUGUUUCGGUAUGGCUGGAGCCUGGUACAGCGCUUGUAAUGGAGCUCAGGGUGAGGCCCCGGGUACCAUGAGGCUAGAGGUGAAAUUCUGAGACCCUCAUGUGACCAACUAAGGCGAAAGCUGUCGUGGGCCACCACAAGCUCGUCUAUCAGGGACGAAAGUUGGGGGAUCGAAGACGAUUAGAUACCGUCGUAGUCCCAACUAUAAACGAUACCAACCGAGUAUUUGGGAAGACACUAUCCCAGCGAUCUUCUCAGAACUCAAGGGAAACCUUAAGUCUUUGGGUUCUGGGGGGAGUAUAGUCGCAAGACCGAAACUUAAAGGAAUUGACGGAAAGGCACCACCAGGAGUGGAGUCUGCG